rnacentral:rRNA from 1 species
GAAGCGUCUGGAAAGGCGCGCGAUACAGGGUGACAGCCCCGUACACAAAAAUGCACAUGCUGUGAGCUCGAUGAGUAGGGCGGGACACGUGGUAUCCUGUCUGAAUAUGGGGGGACCAUCCUCCAAGGCUAAAUACUCCUGACUGACCGAUAGUGAACCAGUACCGUGAGGGAAAGGCGAAAAGAACCCCGGCGAGGGGAGUGAAAAAGAACCUGAAACCGUGUACGUACAAGCAGUGGGAGCACGCUUCGGCGUGUGACUGCGUACCUUUUGUAUAAUGGGUCAGCGACUUAUAUUCUGUAGCAAGGUUAACCGAAUAGGGGAGCCGAAGGGAAACCGAGUCUUAACUGGGCGUUAAGUUGCAGGGUAUAGACCCGAAACCCGGUGAUCUAGCCAUGGGCAGGUUGAAGGUUGGGUAACACUAACUGGAGGACCGAACCGACUAAUGUUGAAAAAUUAGCGGAUGACUUGUGGCUGGGGGUGAAAGGCCAAUCAAACCGGGAGAUAGCUGGUUCUCCCCGAAAGCUAUUUAGGUAGCGCCUCGUGAAUUCAUCUCCGGGGGUAGAGCACUGUUUCGGCAAGGGGGUCAUCCCGACUUACCAACCCGAUGCAAACUGCGAAUACCGGAGAAUGUUAUCACGGGAGACACACGGCGGGUGCUAACGUCCGUCGUGAAGAGGGAAACAACCCAGACCGCCAGCUAAGGUCCCAAAGUCAUGGUUAAGUGGGAAACGAUGUGGGAAGGCCCAGACAGCCAGGAUGUUGGCUUAGAAGCAGCCAUCAUUUAAAGAAAGCGUAAUAGCUCACUGGUCGAGUCGGCCUGCGCGGAAGAUGUAACGGGGCUAAACCAUGCACCGAAGCUGCGGCAGCGACGCUGAUGCGUUGUUGGGUAGGGGAGCGUUCUGUAAGCCUGCGAAGGUGUGCUGUGAGGCAUGCUGGAGGUAUCAGAAGUGCGAAUGCUGACAUAAGUAACGAUAAAGCGGGUGAAAAGCCCGCUCGCCGGAAGACCAAGGGUUCCUGUCCAACGUUAAUCGGGGCAGGGUGAGUCGACCCCUAAGGCGAGGCCGAAAGGCGUAGUCGAUGGGAAACAGGUUAAUAUUCCUGUACUUGGUGUUACUGCGAAGGGGGGACGGAGAAGGCUAUGUUGGCCGGGCGACGGUUGUCCCGGUUUAAGCGUGUAGGCUGGUUUUCCAGGCAAAUCCGGAAAAUCAAGGCUGAGGCGUGAUGACGAGGCACUACGGUGCUGAAGCAACAAAUGCCCUGCUUCCAGGAAAAGCCUCUAAGCAUCAGGUAACAUCAAAUCGUACCCCAAACCGACACAGGUGGUCAGGUAGAGAAUACCAAGGCGCUUGAGAGAACUCGGGUGAAGGAACUAGGCAAAAUGGUGCCGUAACUUCGGGAGAA